rnacentral:rRNA from 1 species
GGCUCAGGAUGAACGCUGGCGGCGUGCCUCAUGCAUGCAAGUCGAACGGGAACACUUUUAGUAGCAAUACUGAGGGUGUUCUAGUGGCGAUCGGGUGAGUAACACGUAGGUGACCUGCCCCGAAGAGGGGGAUAACGGUCCGAAAGGACUGCUAAUACCCCAUGUGGUUGAUGAUUCAUUUCAUCAAUUAAAGUUUCCGCAAGGAGUAUGCUUCGGGAGGGGCCUGCGGCGGAUUAGAUAGUUGGUGGGGUAAUGGCCUACCAAGUCGAUGAUCCGUAGCUAGUCUGAGAGGACGAUUAGCCACACUGGCACUGACACACGGGCCAGACUCCUACGGGAGGCAGCAGCAGGGAAUAUUGCACAAUUGGCGAAAGCCUGAUGCAGCAACGCCGCGUGAGGGAUGAAGGUCUUCGGAUUGUAAACCUCUUUUACAGGGGACGAGUAAGGACGGUACCCUGUGAAUAAGCAACGGCUAACUACGUGCCAGCAGCCGCGGUAAUACGUAGGUUGCGAGCGUUAUUCGGAUUUACUGGGCGUAAAGAGCACCGAGGUGGCUUCUUAAGUUGGAUGUAAAAUCUCCUGGCUUAACUGGGAGGCGCCAUUCAAAACUGAGGAGCUUGAGGUCAGCAGGGGAAGGUGGAAUUCCCGGUGUAGUGGUGGAAUGCGUAGAGAUCGGGAGGAACACCAGUGGCGAAAGCGACCUUCUGGGCUGCACCUGACACUCUAGUGCGAAAGCGUGGGGAGCAAACAGGAUUAGAUACCCUGGUAGUCCACGCCCUAAACGAUGGAUACUAGGUGUGGGAGGUAUUGACCCCUUCCGUGCCGAAGCCAACGCGUUAAGUAUCCCGCCUGGGGACUACGGCCGCAGGUUAAAACUCAAAG